UCUUCUCUAACGAUUUCCUCUCUCCCCUCUUUCUCUCUCUAAAACGGGUUCAACGGUGAUUUCUUGAUUCCGGCAAUGAUGGUGGUCGUGGUUGGUACCAAAAGAAGCGUAUGGACGAGACGAGUGUAACCCAACUUGAAUCAUGUUGAACGGAGCUCCGGUUUGGGAGAAAUCUGAGAUUGAAGUUCUAGCCACCGUGAACUUUCUUUGGUCGAUCUGGCCGAUUCCGGCGACGGUUUGGCUUGAUUUAGUUACCUAUGAGUUCAUCUCAACGAGCUCUUCAAUUUGGUGUAAGAUUUGAUAGGUUUAGGUUGCCGAAUCGCCGGCGGUGACGUUAGCCGAGUUUGACUGGGUUUGGGCCGAGUUCGGCCGAGUUGACCCGGUUUGACCAGACGGUGAUCCCAGUUGAGAUUCGGAGCUGGUUGACUUUUCGGAGUCACGGGUUAAUCGGGGAUGCGUGCUUGAUAUUUGCAUCCUGAUUUCCAGGUGAGAUGGAUAUUGGUGACGCUGGUCAGCAGCGGGACGCAUGAGCUGGUGUGUAGAGCCUCGAGCUGUUUCUUUAGCGAGUUUUGAGAAUUUUGGCUGGUCAGCGGCGGGACGCAUGAGCUGGCGUGUAGCCUCGAGCUGUUUCUUUAGCGAGUUUUGAAAAUUUUGGGUAUUGUAUUUGUAUAUGUGUUACGUAUUUACUCAGUCUGAUAUCGGUUAGAUAUGUUUUUUUUAAUUUUAUUUCCGCUGUUGUAUAGAUACUCCGACUAUUUUAGGUGGGUGUAUAUAGGUGGUAUUUUGGAGAGACUGUUUCCACAUUAUGUUUCAGGAGUUGUUACCAUUUUAUAUAAUUUACAUAUUAUG